rnacentral:lncRNA from 1 species
GAUCUAAUCAAGUCCGACUUUAUGAGUUUACUAGAUUGUGUCAGUUCUUCUACCGAUCGAACUUCAUCAAGUUCAAUCUUUGAGGUAUUAGUUCCUUCAUCAAGGAACUCUUUUUCGAAAAAGACUGUCCUAUUACUAGCGAACACCUUCUGUUCAUCAGCAAAGUAGAAGUAAUAUCUCUUGACUUCUUUUAGAUAUCCUACAAAUAGACACUUGUCAGACCU